UACGAAGGGUGCAAGCGUUACUCGGAAUCACUGGGCGUAAAGCGUGCGUAGGCGGUUCGUUAAGUCUGCUGUGAGAGCCCUGGGCUCAACCUGGGAACUGCAGUGGAUACUGGCGGACUAGAGUGUGAUAGAGGAUGGUGGAAUUCCCGGUGUAGCGGUGAAAUGCGUAGAGAUCGGGAGGAACACCAGUGGCGAAGGCGGCCAUCUGGAUCAACACUGACGCUGAGGCACGAAAGCGUGGGGAGCAAACAGGG
rnacentral:rRNA from 1 species